GUUUCUGUAGUUUAAUUAAGAACAUAGUUUUGAAGCAGCUAAGGUCGAUUUGGUAUAUUGUUCGUUGAAACA
rnacentral:tRNA from 1 species